rnacentral:rRNA from 1 species
UACGAAGGGUGCUAGCGUUGCUCGGAAUUACUGGGCGUAAAGCGCACGUAGGCGGCUUCUUAAGUCAGGGGUGAAAUCCUGGAGCUCAACUCCAGAACUGCCUCUGAUACUGAGGAGCUCGAGUCCGGGAGAGGUGAGUGGAACUCCGAGUGUAGAGGUGAAAUUCGUAGAUAUUCGGAAGAACACCAGUGGCGAAGGCGGCUCACUGGCCCGGUACUGACGCUGAGGAGCGAAAGCGUGGGGAGAAAACAGG